rnacentral:rRNA from 1 species
AGCAGCCGCGGUAAUUCCAGCUCCAAUAGCGUAUAUUAAAGUUGUUGCAGUUAAAAAGCUCGUAGUUGAAUUUCGGGGUCAGUAGGUUGGUCAUGCCACUGGUAUGUACUGAUCUUACUGAUUCCUCCUUCCUGAUGAACCGUAAUGCCAUUAAUUUGGUGUUGCGGGGAGACUGGACUGUUACUUUGAAAAAAUUAGAGCGUUUAAAGCAGGCUCACGCUUGAAUACAUUAGCAUGGAAUAAUGAAAUAGGACGUUUGAUUCUAUUUUGUUGGUUUCUAGGAUUGACGUAAUGAUUAAUAGGGAUAGUUGGGGGCAUUAGUAUUCAAUUGUCAGAGGUGAAAUUCUUGGAUUUAUUGAAGACUAACUACUGCGAAAGCAUUUGCCAAGGAUGUUUUCAUUAAUCAAGAACGAAAGUUAGGGGAUCGAAGACGAUCAGAUACCGUCGUAG